AGCAGGUCGUGCUGACCAGACGCAUCUGGUGGCUGCUACUGAUGCCCGCCAAUCUGCUCGGUAUCGCCAUGUUCUGGUGCCUCAUGAAGUUCCUCUUUCUCAAUACAUUCGAUGCCCCCGAAAGUCCAGAAGCUGGAAUUGCUAUACGGCUGACCAUCGAAAGAUUGAUCAAGGAACUUGGAAUAUUUAGAUACGCGGAAUUGGUGCCCGCCGUACUGUUCCUCGUCUGGGUCGUUGCAAACUACUCCAACGUAUGCGAGUCACAAGA